CCCACAUGGCAGUUCAUACCUGUCUGUAACUCCUGUUCCAGGGAAUAUGACUCCCUCACAUAGACAUGCAGGCAGAAUACCAAUGUACAUAAAAUAAAAAUAAACAAAAAUUUAAAAGCCACAGGAAAAAAAAUAACCCCAGGAAGCACAAGCUGGCUGCUGACUUCCAUGCACGUGCUCAAAUAAACAAAUAUAUAAUUUGAGAGAGAUGACUUAGUACCUUUUUGGGAGAUUUCAAGUUUAACCCAGAGAGGGAUGAGAGGAGAGAAAGAUGGAGCCAUAUAAGUUUACACAAGAGACCACUGGAAGGGAAAGGGACAGGGACAACUGACCAGCUUAGACCUUGCACCUGGCUCUCCAGGUUCUCAUCCCAGCCCCCACAGCUGCUCACUACACUGGUCUGUAGAAUGAGCUGGGACUGUCAGCUCUGCAGCCUUGGGGAGCUGGUAGGAUACGUACUGUGAAUCAUCCCCAAUUUGUCAAUAUGGAGGUACAAAUGAGGCCAUGUAAAUGAUGGUGGGUGCGGUGCCACACACCUGUCAUCCUAGUGCUGAGGAGGCUGAGGCAGGAAGAUCAGAGUCCAAAGCCAGCCUGGGCUACAUAGUGAGAUGCUGUGUCACAGGGGGAGGCUGGGGCUGGGGCUCAGGGAUGGAGCACUCGCCUAGUAAUCAGGAAGCACUAAGUUCCAGCCCUAGCACCUCAGAUGCUUCAUGGGAGCCUGAGGCAGAAGAAUUGUAAGUUUGAGGUCAGCCUGGGCUACAGAUCAGGACCCUGAUUCAAAGCAAAACAAAAGUCGACAAAUUCCGGGAUUGAGCCCUGGCCCUGCCAUAAGCAUCUGUGAGCCUCGUUUUCCCAAAAAUCUGUUUCCCUGUGUAGAACUGGACUUUAUGUGACACAUACCGGAAGAUCCCUAAUGCCGCUGGAUGCUCAGUGAUCGGGGUAGGUGUGAUUCUCACGUGGAGACUUCAUGAGCCCAGUGAUUGUACCCCAUCCCCAUCUGGAAACCAUACAUACACACACACACACACACAUUUUUUUUGGACAGAUUCCAGACUUUUAUUCUGAAGCCGAGGCCCCAACCUAUGAGGUAAUCCUUGGAGCUUCAUUCGAGUAUAAUUCCUAUUGGUCGACUGGCCAAGCCCCGCCCAGGGUUCCCUGCGCUCCGCCUUCCUCUCAAGCGCAUAAAAGUAUAACAUCCGGACCUGGGCAGCCACCGGGAAAUCUGCAGAAGCUGCUGAACAGGAGCAGGGUCUCUCUACAUAACCCCGGCAGUCCUGGAACUCACUAUGUAGACCAGGCUGGCCUCAAACUGGCCUCAAACUCAGAGUACGGGAGAGGCAUUCUGUCAACGGAAUAAGUGCCACUGGGUGAACUGAUGUCCCAAGUGAAGCGGUGAGGGGCAAUCUAACUUUAUAUCUCACGUUCUUUUAUUUUAUAAAAGGGUCUCUCUCCCUCUCAUAUAUAUAUAUAUAUAUACACACACACUAUCCUGUAGCCCAGGCUGAUUUAGAACUCUAUGUGAAGCCAAGAAUGAUCCUUAAAUCCUCA